ACUUUUAAAAAAAUAGUUAUUAAAAAUGUGUAGAACACGAAUUAGUGAACGAAUCAAAACGAAAAUUAGGACACAAAUUGGUGGACAGAUGAGUAAUUAGUAUUGAGAAUGGUGAAAGACUGAAAAUUAAGAAUAAAUAAAGUACUUUUCAAAAAAAGAAUAAAUAAAUAAAUAGUCCACAAUGGGACACCAAGCGGUGCGACCUCCUGUGUAUGAACAGUGAGGUCACGGAUUCAAACCCCACUGCUCCCCUCCCCCAACUCCCCC
rnacentral:lncRNA from 1 species